GCCGUGGCCACCCUUCGCUGCGUCUUCUGCCGUUCCCUUGUCCUCUACCUCUGUCUGUCGGUCUCCGGGCCUUCCACCCGCCGGCUGUUUCUCUUUUGGUCUCCCUCUCUGUGUCUCCCCAUCUUUCUCCCUCUCUGUGUUUUUAUCUCUGUCUCUCCCCGGCGUUCUGUUAUCUGUCUGUCCCAUUCUCUCUGCCCCUCUGCCCCGAGGCCUUCUGCCUCUGUGUCUCUGUCCCCUGGGCCUCUCCCAUGGCGGGGGUUCAGCCUGCCCCUCACUGGCUCCACGUGGGGUCCCAGCUUAAGCUGAGCAUCAGCUUCCCCAGCCCAGCAGCCUCGGGCCUCCGUUCUCUCCCCGCUGGGGACCCCAGGGUCCUGGCCCCUUCUAAGGAAACCAAGGAAGCUCUGGGGCCGGGCCAUGCCUCCUAAAUGGUUUUGGGGAAAGCUCCAAAACAGAGAAGUGCCUCAAGAUGUCCGGUGCUGGCCCAGGUGUUGGGGGAGGGGGCGGGGAGGGCUCCUGCAGCAGCUCCUGCUGGUGUGCUGUGGCCAGGUCAGAAACGGGAGCCACUCUGAAGUAAUCUCAGCCUUGGGGACAGCCAAGGAGAGAGUCUGGUUUGUGCUUGACUAGUUCCAGACCAGCCACCAUAGAGUCCAGACAACUGCUUUUCUAGAAUUCACUGUGAAUAUGUGUCUAAAGGGUGCUGGACAGGCCACAGAAUGGGUCUUUUUGGCAGAAGAAAUUCAUUCAUUCAUUCAUUUUAGGGCCCAAGAAAUUCAUUCAUUCAUUCACUCAUUCGCUCAGCAAGUAUUUACAGAAUGUUUACUAUGUGCCAGAGAUUGUUCUAAGCAGCAAGGAGAAAGCCAUGAACAAAAUGAAGAUCGUUGUGCUGCAUUCUAGCAGGGAAGGCACAUGGGUGAAAGGUCCCAGUCGCUGGGAGACGCCGAGACCCACUGAGGCCCGGUGGUGGCCCCCAGCUCACUGAGGGGCAAUGGCCGGGAAGAGGUUGGCUGAAAGACUUGUGCUGCAGGAAAACUCCUCCUGUCCCUCAUUUUGCUUCCCUUUUUCUCAUCACUGUCAGGGGUUUUCUGACAAUGAUGACCUUUGAGCCACAAAUAAACCACACAGCCACAUGGGAGGGGUCCUGACCAGGGCCUGGUGGUCUGUGUCCCAGGGAGAAGUACAGCCCUCCUGUCUGCAGAGAAAGUGAGGACUUCUUUACAUCAAGAUCAUAAUGCACUGGGUCUUGAACUACAGUUUCAGAAACACUGUCAUAAACCAUGGAAGGGGAUAUAAAAGCAUUUGUGGUUUCAUCACCUAGAGAGCUUGCUGGAAGUGGGGCCUGGAGUAGCCUUGGGAGCUGCCACCCUAGGCACACCAAUGGUGACCCCAGUGCCACUCAUCACUGGCCUAUGUGGGCCUGCUCCUCUGUGGUGGACUUGAACCUUACUGCUCCAGCCAUCUCCCCUGCCUGCCUGUCAAGCCUCGCUGUUGACUGUAGUCAUCUUCAUGCCAAAGGCCAGACAUAGCCUGCGAGACUUGGAUGGGACCUCGAGGGUCAUCUCAUCUCUCACUUUAUAUAGGAGAAAACUGAGGCCCAGCCAAGGAAAGUGACUUAUUCAAGGCUGCCCAGUGAAUGGGUGGCAGAACCAGAACUAGAGUUCAGAUGUCCCUCUGUCAGCCCAAGGCUUGUUUUCAUUACGGCCUUGUUAUCUGCCUGAUUGCAAACCCAAUCCCCCCUUCUCUCUAUGUCUUGGGUUCGGGAACCACUCCUGGCCUGAGCAGAGCAGGAAUAAAGCAGCAGGGCCAGUCUAAAGUCUGCACAUACUAACCAUGUGGCCAAAGGCAGGCCUGUUAAUACUUCUAAGCCUCAGUCUCCUUCUCUAUAGAGUGGGAAUGAUGUUUUCUGCUCUUCCUAACACACAGGGUUGCUUUGUAAAUUAAAUGAGAUAAUGUGCAUCAAAUAGGCUUUGAAAAACCUUUUAAAUAUGCUUAAAAUGGAAGGGUUCUUGAGGGUUGGGGUAUGGUUGAAUAGGUGAAGCACAGGGGUUUUCUUAGGUGGGUGAAAUUAUUCUGUAUGAUAUUGCAGGUAGAUACCUGACACUAUGUACUUGUCAAGACCUGUAGAAAUGUAUAGCACAAAGAGUACAUUUUUACACAAAAUAAAAGAAUCAUUUAGGAGAUCAGAGGAUACGAAGAUGGAAUGCAAAAUGUGACAAAACUAUUUAACUGGAUUAAAAACAUGUAAAACAACUUCACUGAAGUGGGGGAGGGGUGGGAGUUUUUGAUCUAAGCAACUUUGGAAAUGAGUGGAGUCUAUAAGACUAAAGACUAAAGAAACUGUGCCUAAGCACUAUACUCUAGUUGAUAAAGUAGCUUCUCAUGGAGUGUGGUUAACAAUUCCAGUACCACUAUACAUGUGUAUUGGAACUGAAUGAGUAAGUCAAUGGAUAGUGGAUGGUAACAGACAGGUUUCUCACUGUGGGAGUGGAAGGUUACAGACAGGCAAGGGGAGAAGGCUAGAAUGAUCCUUGUGAUAAUUUAUUAGAGUUGUAAUAUUAGUAUGAAAUCAAGUUUAGAUUGCACUCCAUCCAGGGCAACAAGAGCGGAACUCCGUCUCAAAAAAAAAAAGGUACCUCUCCCUCUCCCUCCCCCUCCCCCUCCCCCUCUCCCUCUCCCUACGGUCUCCCUCUCCCUCUUUCCACGGUCUCCCUCUGAUGCCGAGCCAAAGCUGGACUGUACUGCUGCCAUCUCGGCUCACUGCAACCUCCCUGCCUGAUUCUCCUGCCUCAGCCUGCUGAGUGCCUGCGAUUGCAGGCGCGCGCCGCCACGCCUGACUGGUUUUCGUAUUUUUUUGGUGGAGACGGGGUUUCGCUGUGUUGGCUAGGCUGGUCUCCAGCUCCUAACCGCGAGUGAUCCGCCAGCCUCGGCCUCCGGAGGUGCCGGGAUUGCAGACGGUGUCUGGUUCACUCAGUGCUCAAUGGUGCCCAGGCUGGAGUGCAGUGGCGUGAUCUCGGCUCGCUACAACCUCCACCUCCCAGCCGCCUGCCUUGGCCUCCCAAAGUGCCCAGAGUGCAGCCUCUGCCCACCCCGUCUAGGAAGUGAGGAGCGUCUCUGCCUGGCCGCCCAUCGUCUGGGAUGUGAGGAGCCCCUCUGCCUGGCUGCCCAGUCUGGAAAGUGAGGAGCGUCUCUGCCCCGCCGCCAUCCCACCUAGGAAGUGAGGAGUGCCUCUUCCUGGCCGCCAUCCCAUCUAGGAAGUGAGGAGCGUCUCUGCCCGGCCGCCCAUCGUCUGAGAUGUGGGGAGCGCCUUUGCCCCGCCGCCCCGUCUGGGAUGUGAGGAGCGCCUCUGCCCGGCCGCGACCCCGUCUGGGAGGUGAGGAGCGUCUCUGCCCAGCUGCCUCGUCUGAGAAGGGAGGAGACCCUCCGCCCGGCAGCCGCCCCAUCUGAGAAGUGAGGAGCCCCUCCGCCCGGCAGCCGCCCCGUCCGGGAGGGAGGUGGGGGUCAGCCCCCGCCAGGCCAGCCGCCCCGUCUGGGAGGGAGGUGGGGGGGUCAGCCCCCCGCCCGGCCAGCCACCCCGUCCGGGAGGUGAGGGGCGCCUCUGCCCGGCCGCCCCUACUGGGAAGUGAGGAGCCCCUCUGCCCGGCCACCACCCCGUCUGGGAGGUGUGCCCAACAGCCCAUUGAGAACGGGCCAUGAUGACAAUGGUGGUUUUGUGGAAUAGAAAGCGGGGAAAGGUGGGGAAAAGAUUGAGAAAUCGGAUGGUUGCCGUGUCUGUGUGGAAAGGAGUAGACAUGGGAGACUUUUCAUUUUGUUCUGUACUAAGAAAAAUUCUUCUGCCUUGGGAUCCUGUUGAUCUGUGACCUUACCCCCAACCCUGUGCUCUCUGAAACAUGUGCUGUGUCCACUCAGAGUUAAAUGGAUUAAGGGCGGUGCAAGAUGUGCUUUGUUAAACAGAUGCUUGAAGGCAGCAUGCUCGUUAAGAGUCAUCACCACUCCCUAAUCUCAAGUACCCAGGGACACAAACACUGUGGAAGGCCGCUGGGUCCUCUGCCUAGGAAAACCAGAGACCUUUGUUCACUUGUUUAUCUGCUGACAUUCCCUCCACUAUUGUCCUAUGACCCUGCCAAGUCCCCCUCUGUGAGAAACACCCAAGAAUGAUCAAUAAAAAAAAAAAAAAGUAAAAAAAAAAAAAAAAAAGAAAUCAAGUUUAAUAUAGAUACAGAUAGUGACAUAUAGGAAUAUUUAUAUGUUUGUGUAUAUCUGUUGUGAUAUACAUACAGGUUAGUAGAUACACAUGUAUUUCUAUGCUCUGUCAGCUAAGAGGGCCUAGAAGUAAUGACAGCCCAGUAGCUGUGAGCACACUUAGUGCUCAGAUUUUGGCUUCUAAUAUCAUUCUCCAAUUUUAAAAACCCCCACAAAAACCAGGGCUUCUUGUAAAAAUGGCUGAUUCUAGGAUUGGAACAGGAAAUGUACAAGAUGAACCUGGAACAUCUUGUAGUGCCAGAAAGUAAGGAAGAUCUGAGGAAGAAAUGAUGGGAGUAUGUCAAAGGGACACAGGAGACAACUGGUAGAGCUCCAGUGGCUAAAGCUGGAACAAAGUGAGCAAUAAAAUAAAUACAGUAGUAUUGGAUAAUUACCCAAAGUAGAAGAGAAAUAUCCCGGCUCACGCCUGUAAUCCCAGCACUUUGGGAGGCCAAGGCAGGCAGAUCAUGAGGUCAGGAGUUCAAGACCAUCCUGGCUAACAUGGUGAAACCCCAUCUCUACUAAAAAUACAAACAACUAGCCAGGUGUGGUGGCAGGCACCUGUAGUCCCAGCUACUCAGGAGGCUGAGGCAGGAUAAUCACUUGAACCCAGGAGGCAGAGGUUGCAGUGAGCCGAGAUCAUGCCACCGCACUCCAGCCUGGGCAACAGAGCAAGACUCCAUCUAAAAAAAAAGAGAAAUAUCCAUGAGUUUGAACUUAUAUAAAUAAAUGGCUACAUAGAGAAAAGGGGGAGAAGAUACAAAAAUACAGAAUUGCAGAUGAUAUUCACAGAUACUCAAGGAUGAGCAUAGCUCCCUGCUCCUUAAAUGUGGGCUCCACAUAGCAACUUACCUCCAAACAGUAUACACGGAAAGGGGAAGAAAGAAUAACUUCAUAGUGGAGAAACCUGACAAACACUACUUCUGUUAACUGUGAACGCAGUUGACAUCGACAGUGACAGGUCAUGGUGGUGGCAUAUACUCUUGAUAGGAUGUAAUGAAAGUGGCACUUCACCUUUGAGGUCUUGCUCCCUCAAACCCAUAACCUAAAACAUCAGACAAAUCCCAGCUGAGGAACAUUCUACAAAAUACCUGACCAAUACUCCUUGAAAUCAUCAAGAUCAUCAAAAACAAGAAAAGUCUGAGAAACUGUCACAGCCAAGGGAGACCUAAGAAGACAUGAUGGCCAAAUGUAAUGCUGCAUCCUAGAACAGAAAAAGGAUAUUAGGUUAAAAAAAAAAACAACUAAGGAAAUCUGAAUAAAGUAUGAACAUAGUUUAAUAAUAAUGUUAAUCUUGUAGGGCUGAUAUCAAUAGCAGUUUAUUAAUUGUGGCAAAUGUACCGUACUAAAUGUAAGAUGAUGAUAAUAGGGGAAAUUGGGUGUGGAGAAUAUGGGAACUCUCUGUAUUAUCUUUGCCAUUUUUCUUUAAAACUUUUCUAAAGUAAAAAUUUUAUAUCGAAAAUUGAAAGCCUUACAUUGGUAAUUAUUCACAGCUUAUGGCUAAGACAGGUGGAAUUGGGAGAAUGCCCUGGGAAGGUUUCAAGGAAGUACAAGGGAGGAUUUGGGGAACUGCUCAGGGGUGAGAAAUACAGCUUGGGAGACAGGGCGGAGGGGAAGCUCGGUGCACAUCCCAGACUGAGGAGGUGUCAGAGGGAAAGGGUCCUUGGGACAGGGUGUCUUGGGACCCUUUCCUGCCUGGGAGGGCUUCUGGAGGAGGAGGUGAGUGGAUGGGGAGUGACAGCCUGGCUCUUUGCUCUCCUACCUUAUCCUGACCCACCUUGCCACAUCUCUGGGGCCAGCCCUGCUCCUUAUCUGGAGGCAACCCAUCAG
rnacentral:lncRNA from 10 species